rnacentral:rRNA from 1 species
CCAAAUGGGUGGUAAACUCCAUCUAAGGCUAAAUAUUGGCGAGAGACCGAUAGCGAACAAGUACCGUGAGGGAAAGAUGAAAAGAACUUUGAAAAGAGAGUAAAACAGUACGUGAAAUUGUUGAAAGGGAAACGAUUGAAGUCAGUCAUGCCGGCGUUGGAUUCAGCUUGCUUCGCGGAGCUUGCGCAUUUCCUCGCAUGGCAGGUCAGCGUCAGUUUUGCGCGGCGUGGAAAGGCUCGGGUAAGGUAGCUCUCUUCGGGGAGUGUUAUAGACCUGGGCAAAUGCGCAGCGCGGGACUGAGGAUUGCAGCGGACACCUCUUCGGGGGCGCGGCGACCGAACCCUGCUCGGCCACCCUCGUUCGAUAGCGUGCUAGCGGACGCGGGAGCGGCAGUGCACCGGAACAGGCAAGCCAGCGGUUCGCUUAGGAUGCUGACGUAAUGGCUUUAAACGACCCGUCUUGAAACACGGACCAAGGAG